AGAAUAACAAAUAUAACAUCAAAACCAAAUACAUGAAUGUAAACAAUUAGUUGUUGCAUAUUUUCUCAGGUUUCUUUUGGACAUUCCAUUUGCCUUUGAUUUUAGAUAUUUUUGAAGAUUUAUAGAACCAAAAUCGACGCCCAUGAUAAUUACAGACAUGGGAACACAAAAAUAGUGUAAAUUUACUUUUCUUUUACAUUGUCUCAUUUGACAAAAGGCCAUUUGUGAGGUUUAAUCACAUGUGAGGAUUUUUAACUUUUCACUAAUUUUCAAUUAACUGCUGAACUGGUUUGAAACAGCUUUAAAAAGUUACAACAGUGGUAUUUGUGCUAGAACAAUGUUAAUAUAGGAUGAAAUGUCUU
rnacentral:lncRNA from 1 species